rnacentral:rRNA from 1 species
AUUCCAGCUCCAAUAGCGUAUAUUAAAGUUGUUGCAGUUAAAAAGCUCGUAGUUGGAUUUCUGCCAGGGUGCCAAUGUCCGCCGAAGUGCGUGCGCAGCGGCGCCCUCGCAUCCUUCUGUUAACGCCUCUCGGCAUUUACUUGCCGGUGGUGGGCUCAGAUAAUUUACCUUGAGAAAAUUAGAGUGUUUCAGGCAGGCUAGGCCGGAAUACAUUAGCAUGGAAUAAUGGAAUAGGACUACGGUCUCGUUGUUGGUUUGAGGGACUGGAGUAAUGAAUAAUAGGGACAGUUGGGGGUAUUCGUAUUCCAUUGUCAGAGGUGAAAUUCUUGGAUUUAUGGAAGACGAACUACUGCGAAAGCAUUUACCAAGGAUGUUUUCAUCA